rnacentral:rRNA from 1 species
GACGAACGCUGGCGGCGCGCCUAAUGCAUGCAAGUCGAGCGACGCAUGCUCGGUGGGUAACCACUGGGUAUGACGGAGCGGCGAACGGGUGAGUAACACGUGAGUAACCUGCCCCGAAGAUCGGGAUAGCCCGGGAAACCCGGAUUAAUACCGAAUACCCUCUCUGGAUCGCAUGGUCCGGUGAGGAAAUGCCUUUGUGCUUCGGGAUGGACUCGCGGCCUAUCAGCUAGUUGGUGAGGUAACGGCUCACCAAGGCAACGACGGGUAGCUGGUUUGAGUGGACGAUCAGCCACACUGGGACUGAGACACGGCCCAGACUCCUACGGGAGGCAGCAGUGGGGAAUAUUGCGCAAUGGGCGAAAGCCUGACGCAGCGACGCCGCGUGGAGGAUGAAGGCCUUCGGGUUGUAAACCUCUUUCAGUGGGGAAGAAGCGCAAGUGACGGUACCCACACAAGAAGGCCCCGGCCAACUACGUG